rnacentral:rRNA from 1 species
GACGAACGCUGGCGGCGUGCCUAACACAUGCAAGUCGAGCGGGGACAUAUUCGGAAGGUCUUCGGAUUGGAAGGAUAUGUUCUAGCGGCGGACGGGUGAGUAACGCGUGAACAAUCUGUCCCAGACAGGGGGAUAACAGAUGGAAACAUCUGCUAAUACCGCAUAAGACCACGUCCUCACAUGAGGGAGAGGUAAAAGGAGCAAUCCGCUUUGAGAUGGCCUCGCGUCCGAUUAGCUGGUUGGUGAGGUAACGGCCCACCAAGGCAACGAUCGGUAGCCGGACUGAGAGGUUGAACGGCCACAUUGGGACUGAGACACGGCCCAG